UACGGGGGGGACAAGCGUUGUUCGGAAUUACUGGGCGUAAAGGGCGCGUAGGCGGCCCUCUAAGUCAGACGUGAAAUCCCUCGGCUCAACCGGGGAACUGCGUCUGAUACUGGAGGGCUUGAAUCCGGGAGAGGGAUGUGGAAUUCCAGGUGUAGCGGUGAAAUGCGUAGAUAUCUGGAGGAACACCGGUGGCGAAGGCGGCAUCCUGGACCGGUAUUGACGCUGAGGCGCGAAAGCUAGGGGAGCAAACGGG
rnacentral:rRNA from 1 species